AUACGUAGGGUGCAAGCGUUAAUCGGAAUUACUGGGCGUAAAGCGUGCGCAGGCGGUUUUGUAAGACAGUGGUGAAAUCCCCGGGCUCAACCUGGGAAAUGCCAUUGUGACUGCAAAGCUGGAGUGCGGCAGAGGGGGAUGGAAUUCCGCGUGUAGCUGUGAAAAGCGUAGAUAUGCGGAGGAACACCGAUGGCGAAGGCAAUCCCCUGGGCCUGCACUGACGCUCAUGCACGAAAGCGUGGGGAGCAAACAGGAUUAGAUACCCUGGUAGUCCACGCCCUAAACGAUGUCAACUGGUUGUUGGGUCUUCAUUGACUCAGUAACGAAGCUAACGCGUGAAGUUGACCGCCUGGGGAGUACGGCCGCAAGGUUGAAACUCAAAUGAAUUGACGGGG
rnacentral:rRNA from 1 species